UACGGAGGGGGCAAGCGUUGUUCGGAGUUACUGGGCGUAAAGCGCACGUAGGCGGUGCGGUAAGUCAGGGGUUAAAGGCUGCAGCUCAACUGCAGUAAGGCCUUUGAUACUAUCGUGCUAGAGUGUCAGAGAGGAUGGCGGAAUUCCCGGUGUAGCGGUGAAAUGCGUAGAUGUCGGGAGGAACACCAGUAGCGAAGGCGGCCAUCUGGCUGGUAACUGACGCUGAGGUGCGAGAGCGUGGGGAGCAAACAGG
rnacentral:rRNA from 1 species